rnacentral:piRNA from 1 species
AGAAUCCCCUGACACAGCAAGCGCCG